UACGAAGGGGGCGAGCGUUGUUCGGAAUGACUGGGCGUAAAGGGCGCGUAGGCGGAAUGCUUUGUCGGGCGUGAAAUCCCAGAGCUCAACUCUGGAACUGCCUUUGAUACUGUCGAUCUGGAGUAUGGAAGAGGUGAGUGGAAUUCCGAGUGUAGAGGUGAAAUUCGUAGAUAUUCGGAGGAACACCAGUGGCGAAGGCGGCUCACUGGUCCGAUUACUG
rnacentral:rRNA from 1 species